rnacentral:rRNA from 1 species
CCUACGGGAGGCAGCAGUGAGGAAUAUUGGUCAAUGGGCGGAAGCCUGAACCAGCCAAGUCGCGUGAGGGAGUAAGGCCCUACGGGUCGUAAACCUCUUUUGCCGGGGAGCAGUGCCCAGCUCGUGAGCUGGGAGGGAGCGUACCCGGCGAAAAAGCCUCGGCUAACUCCGUGCCAGCAGCCGCGGUAAUACGGAGGAGGCGAGCGUUAUCCGGAUUUAUGGGGUUUAAAGGGUGCGUGGGCGGGCCUUCCGGCCGGCGGUAAAAUUGAGGGGCUCAACCCCGCCGAGCCGUCGGAACCGGGGGCCUUGAGUACCGGAGAGGUACGCGGAAUGCGUGGUGUAGCGGUGAAAUGCAUAGAUAUCACGCAGAACUCCGAUUGCGAAGGCAGCAUACCGGCGCCCAACUGACGCUCAGGCACGAAAGCGUGGGUAUCGAACAGGAUUAGAUACCCCUGUAGUC